GCUCUCCUCUCCUGCUAAGCUCUGUUUCCUGGAAGUAAUUAAAACCUUCUGCCACUCCCAUAGCCACUGCUGCUGCUGGAACCACCAUAGCCACCUUGGUUUCAUGGUUUGGCAGAGUAUUGGCCUCCACCACCAUACGGGCCAGGGCUUCUGCCUCCAAAACUUCCUCCUCGUAGGGGCCCAAAAUGUCAAGAUUGAUUGUUGUAAUGGCCAAAAUCAUUAUAGCUUCCACCACCUCCAGAGUUGCUUCCAUCAUUACCAAAUCCGUUACAGCCGUCCCCACUGCACCUAUCCACCAGCACCUCGACUACCACCAAGGCCACCUCGCCCACCGAAGUUUCCUCCACGGCCGGAGUUGUCAUUCCCACCAAAACCACCUCUAUGGCCACCACCAAAAUUUCCAGAACCACUUCGACCUCUUUGGCUGGAUGAAGCACCAGCCAUCUGUUGCUAAAUAGAGGUUUCCUUACUUCACAGUUGUGGCCGUUCACAGUAUGGUAUUUCUGAAUGACAGUCUUGUCUACAGAUUCAUGGUUGCCAAAUGUUACAAAAGCAAAGCCUCUCUUUUUGCCACUGCCUCGGUCGGUCAUGAUUUCAAUCACUUCAAUUUUCCCAUGCUGUUCAAAAUAAUCUUUUAGGUGAUGUUUUUCAGUGUCUUCUUUAAUGCUACUGACAAAAAUCUUUUUCACAGUUAAGUGGGCACCAGGUCUUUGAGAAUCUUCUCUCGAGACAGCCCUCUUUGGUUCUACAACUCUUCCAUCCACCUUGUGUGGCCUUGCAUUCGUGGCUGCGUCCACCUCUUCCAUAGUGGCAUGCACACGUGACAAACCCAAAGCCUCUGGAGCACUUGGUGUUGGGAUCUCUCAUUACCACACAGUCCGUAAGCAUUCCCCACUGCUCAAAAUGGCUCCUCAGAGUCUGUCUCAUUGGUUGUUUCAAAGCUCAAACCUCCGAUGAAAAGCUUCUGCAGCUGUUCAGGCUCUUUGGGAGACUCUGACUUAGACAUGAUGGCGGUGGGUGGGGAGACUUUCACAAUGCUUACUCGGCGGCGUCCACGGGCAGAAAG
rnacentral:lncRNA from 1 species